UACGAAGGGGGCGAGCGUUGUUCGGAAUUACUGGGCGUAAAGGGCGCGUAGGCGGUGCAUCAAGUCAGGCGUGAAAGCCCCGGGCUCAACCUGGGAACGGCGCUUGAGACUGGUGCGCUCGAGUUCGGGAGAGGAUGGUGGAAUUCCCAGUGUAGAGGUGAAAUUCGUAGAUAUUCGCAAGAACACCAGUGGCGAAGGCGGCUCACUGGCCCGGUACUGACG
rnacentral:rRNA from 1 species